GCAUGUCUAAGUAUAAACAAAUUUAUACAGUGAAACUGCGAAUGGCUCAUUAUAUCAGCUAUAAUUUAUUUGAUGAUACCUUUUACUACUUGGAUAACCGUGGUAAUUCUAGAGCUAAUACAUGCAUUAAACACCCCAACUUUUAUCGGAAGGGGAGCAUUUAUUAGAUACAAAACCAGUGGGGGCAACCUCUUACUUGGUGAUUCAUAAUAACUAAGCAUAUCGCAUGGCCUUGUGCGGCGAAGGAUCAUUCAAAUUUCUGCCCUAUCAACUUUCGAUGAUAGUAUAGAGGACUACCAUGGUGGUAACGGGUAACGGGGAAUUAGGGUUCGAUUCCGGAGAGGGAGCCUGAGAAACGGCUACCACUUUUAAGGAAGGCAGCAGGCGCGCAAAUUACCCAAUCCUGAUACAGGGAGGUAGUGACAAUAAAUAACAAUCCAGGGCCUUUUAGGUCUUGGAAUUGGAAUGAGUACAAUUUAAACCUCUUAACGAGGAACAAUUGGAGGGCAAGUCUGGUGCCAGCAGCCGCGGUAAUUCCAGCUCCAAUAGCGUAUAUUAAAGUUGUUGCAGUUAAAAAGCUCGUAGUUGAACCUUAGACUGUCGAAUUGAUGGAUUUGUUUUGCUGUUUUUUCAGUGGCUUUCGGGUUACUGGGAUGACAGUUGAAUUGCCAUUUUUUCCUAGUCUUUACCAAUCUGGAGUUUGAGGAGUGGGGAUUUCAGUAGCAAUGCUGAGCCUUGCUUUUAUAACCAGACCUUUUACCUUGAAAAAAUUAGAGUGUUCAAAGCAGGCAUUUUUGCCUGAAUAUAUUAGCAUGGAAUAAUAAAAUAGGACUUUGGUUUUAUUUUGUUGGUUUCUGAAACCAAGGUAAUGAUUAAUAGGGACAGUUGGGGACAUUUGUAUGGUACUGUCGGUGGUGAAAUACUUGAACCAGUACCAGACAAACUGAUGCGAAAGCGUCUGUCAAGGAUGUUUUCAUUAAUCAAGAACGAAAGUUAGGGGAUCGAAGACGAUUAGAUACCGUCGUAGUCUUAACCAUAAACUAUGCCAACUCGGGAUCAGGCAAUGUUAAAUUUUUAACGACUUGCUUGGCACCGUAUGAGAAAUCAAAGUUUUUGGGUUCCGGGGGGAGUAUGGUCGCAAGGCUGAAACUUAAAGGAAUUGACGGAAGGGCACCACCAGGAGUGCGUGCGGCUCAAUUCGACUCAACACGGGAAAACUCACCAGGUCCAGACAUAGUGAGGAUUGACAGAUUGAGAGCUCUUUCUUGAUUCUAUGGGUGGUGGUGCAUGGCCGUUCUUAGUUGGUGGAGUGAUUUGUCUGGUUAAUUCCGAUAACGAACGAGACCUUAACCUGCUAAAUAGGCAACGCUAUUGGAUAGGGUUGGAUUUAUCCUUCUUUUUUCAAUGGGCGGAUUUGCUUCUUAGAGGGACUGUUAGUGGUUAACUAACGG
rnacentral:rRNA from 1 species